ensembl:lncRNA
AUAGGGAUUCCACAUGGUUGUCUGCCCCAUGUGUGAUGAUCCUUGAUCCAGCCCUAUACACAGAAAAUUCACUCUCCCCACAGUCAUCCAACAAGGUAACCCUCUGUUCCAGGGUAAACUCCAUCAUGCACCUGUAGUGCCUCACUUUGUAGCCCAGGGAUGGAGUCUUCAUUUUAGCUCCCUUUUCUAAUAUGCUUUUCUUCCACUUGAUUUCUGCAAGUUUUUUCUUAUUCUGUACAUUGGACCUCCACAUUAGCCCCUCAGUGUGGUCUAAAUAUUUCUCAUUCAUUCUCACCCAUAGGCUCUCAGUUUGGAACCACUUCUUUGUUAUAAGGAGUUGACAUCCCACCUUUACUAAUUGGGAUUCCACAUGGUUGUCUGCCCCAUGUGGAAUCCUAUUGGUUCAAGUCCCAUAGCAAAGAAAAUGCCCAUUUCCCACAGUGAUCCAAAAAGGUUACCUUGACUGCCAGGGUAAAUACUAUGAUACACCAGACUGCCUCACCUCAUAGCCCAGGUAUGGGGACUUGACUUUUGCCCCCUUUUCUAAUAUCCUCUUCUCCAUUUUAAUUUCUGUGCAGGCUUUCUUAAACUGUUCAUUGGCCUCCUACUCUGUCCCUCAGUGUACUGAUAAAGGUUUCUCAUUUAUUUUUCUCCUGUAGGGUCCCCAGUUUGUAGCCACUUCUUUGUAAUAUGGGGCUUACAUGCCACCAUAAUCAAGGGGAAUUCCAUAUGGUUUCCUUGGCCAUGUGGAAUAUUGUCGGUGACAGUCCCAUGGCAAAGAAAAUUCACUAUUUCCACAGCCAUCCAACAAGGUAACCCUGUGUUCCAGGGUAAACUCCAUCAUGCACCGUAGUGCCUCACCUCACAGCCCAGGGGUACAGCUAUGGAGCUUGAAGAGACACAGUGAGAGAGAAACAAAAUCCACUGCAUAGACCCUCAUUUGUUAGCCCUUCCAAUCACAGAUAAAGGCCUUGUUUCUAUUUCCUACCCAUUCUCUGGCAGGAAGGGCUUCUAGUCUACUGGCUUUCAGGUUUAAUGUAUAUGGAAUACCACCCCCACCUCUUUUGCUCCUUUCCUAGGCCUUCUAGAUCUUAAAAUCACUUAAUGCAGAGCCAGUUCAAAUGGGAGCCUCUCUGCCUUGGGAGUUAUCCCUUUUCAUUCAUAGAUACUCACCCCUAAGCACUGAGGUUUGCAAACUCACUUAUUCUCUGGAGACCAAACAGGGUCAUGAUUUCUACUUAGAGGAAAAGACUUUUCUCAGCAUUUCUAUUCCAAGCCUUCUGCCAGUGUAUGAUUAAGGAUUCAUCUGCUAUUCUCCAUAGGAAGGUUGUCCCUGUUUGUUUGCCAUUGCUAGUAAGAACUGGCCUUACAGUGGGACCAAGUUAGAAUGAGCAUCAUACCCCAGCUUCAUGUCAGUCCUCCUGGCAUUUGCUCCACAGUAAAAAACCAGACGUUGGGUCACCAGUCAGUUCCAUGCUGCCCUGGUCUGCCAGGGGAAGCAGCAGUUCACCCAGAGGGCCCCACUCUGACCCCAGAGAUGGGGCCCAACAAGCUAUCUUGCUCUCUGAGACCAAGGAGGGUCUUGAUAUUCAGUCAGAGGGCAGGUCUUUCCUUUCUAUUGGUCAGUGGCCAGGAUUUCAGUUUUAUAUGGCUGUAGGUUGACAGCCACUUCCCAGAGGCAGGGCCCCUGGUUUCUUUCUAAUACUUGGCCAAUCAGAGCAUUCUUUCCACCAAGGGCAAAGCUGAAGGAGCAUUGUAUUGCAGGCCAAUGGAUAUUGUUCCUUUUUGGGACCCUGUAGCCAAGUAGACUCACUGCAACCACAAACCACCUUUCAUUGCUGGGGAAGGUGCCACAUUGUACCUGUAAACCUCUCUGCCCACCUGGAGCAGCAGGGAUACUUGCUAAUCAGCUAUCUCACUAUCCUCUUGCAUACUCCAAUACCUCAUGCAAUAGUCUUGUUGCUCUUUUGCUCCAAUCACAUAAUACUCAGAGCAGAGAUAAAGUCUUGUCAGCCAUUCUUCACCUAUAGGGCCCUCAGAUUUGUACCCACUUCUCUGUUACAUGGGGCUUCCAUGCCAUUAUCAUCAAGGACUCUACAGGGUUCUCUGCCCCAUGUGUGAUAUUUCUUGACCUAGCCCCAUAGCAAAGGAAAUUCACUCUUCCAAUAGUCAUUGAAAAGGGAACCCUGUCUGACAGGAUAAAUACCACCAUGUACCCGUAAUGUCUCACCUUGCAGCCCAGUGUUGGAGACAUGUUUUCUAUUUCAGCAGUGUAUGGCUAUAGAUUGGUCAGCCAUUUCCCAGUGGCAGGAUUCCUGAUUUCUUUCCAAUAGUUGGUUACUCAGGGCAUCCUUUUUACUCAGGGCAAGGGUGAAGGAGCACUGGGUUGAAGGCUAAUGGAAGUUGCUCUUUCCUGAUACCCUUUAAGAAGGAAACUCACUGUUACCUAAGUUCUUUCAUUGCAACUUCAUUUUUCAAGCAAAUUUUUGUGUUGCCUAUCUUUUUAAGGUUAUGAAUUAAUUUUUCAUUAUGAUAUUUUCCACUAAAUGUUACUUCCUUUAAUUACUCUUUUUUCUUCAUUAAUUUUGAUUGUUGUUUGAAGUUUCUGGCAUUUAUCUAUUAUCUCAUUCUUAUAAUUUGGCCUUUUUCUUUUAGUCCCAUUGAACCAUGCCUUUUCAUACUUAAAUAUAAUAAGCUGUUAACUUUCUAAUUUUAUGUCACUGCCUUACUCAUUGGUUAAAAUGAUCAGGUUGAUGAUAAAUGCUUAACAAAUAUUUUUUAAAAUUUGCAUUGUUUUGGCAUAGAACCAGUCCCUAGGACUCGGGAGAAUCUGUGUCCCAAUGUGGCUGAUCUUACCAGAUCUGUGACUGUGGGCAAGUGAUUAAAACCGCUUUGUUUCCAAAAAAAAGAAAAAGAAAAAAGAAAAGAAAAGCAAUUUUGAAUAGUUCAAAUAUUUAUCUAUUUUCUUUUUCAUUUUCCUUUUUGAGUAAUAAAAAAUAUCUGAUUUGUAGUAAUAGUAGUUAAAAUUGUACAAUCUGUUUCAAAUGUUACAGUAAUUCCAAUAGCCUCACAAGUUCCUCAUUCUCUUAUGACAAUAUUGGAGGCAUAUUUCAUUCUUUCACCUCUAGAAUUGUUUUUGUUGUUUUCAAUUAUCUUAAUUCAGGUUUAUCUUUUGUUUUUUUCCUCCCAUCUUUUCAUUUCCCCAAACUUCUGCUAAAUUCACCUGUAUUUAUCUCAUAUAAAUCUUUAAAUGGUGUUCAUCUUUAUAGUCAUUUUUUCCCCGGAUAUAAUACAUCUUUUAUUUCAACACAAUGCAACCUUUGUUUUAGUUCAAUUUUAUUAGCAUAGUAUUAACACUGAUUUGUUUUGCCAUAUUUUUAGAUUCACGAGCAUGGGUGGGUUGUUUCCAUUUCUUUGCUACAAAGUAUAUUUACCUCACCUAAUUCAAUUUAACAGGAAUUAUUUUUGAUACUCCCCCAUUUUACAGAUGACAAAAUUCAAGUGUUGAGAAUUCCAAAAUUUUGUUGGACUGGCAUAAACGAAUGCUUUGGGACUAUUCAUUUCAUUGGGAGCCUAGAAAAAUGGAAUUGGGAGACUUUGGCAUGUCAAUGUUCAACUGAAGUUUCCCGAGAUCUAAGUUCUAUGAGCUCAGCUAUGUUAAAUAGUCCUACUUCAGGAGAAGACAGCAUCUAAACCAUCCCAGUCCUUUUUCAUCUUAUUGGGCAAGAGGCCUUAUAACCUCUCGGAAAAACUUUUUUCACAAUGUUUUACAAACUUAAUUGUUGAUAACAUUGUUUUUUGUUCUAAAUAUCCUCAAACCAGUUCCCUUCAUAUUCUUCUUCAAAAUGGAGAUGUAGAUUUGUGAAAUACAUCUUCCUAAAUUUCAAUUUCAAGAACAAAUUAUUCCUCAGCAUUUUCUUCUCCAGACUAAACAAGGCCCAUCAUCUUUUAAAACAAACAAACAAACAAACCCGGUGCUGUUCUCAUGUUCUCAUGCUUCUUCAAAAUAAAGGCCCACACAAAAAAAGUAAUUUUUCACCUCUGAAUAAGGCCUAAUCAAUAUGGAAUAUAGUUGAGAAAGCCUUCCUUUCUAGCUUUUGCAUGUGGCAAUGUAGUAUGCGCUUAAUGGUUUGCACAUAGUAGGUACUUAAUAAUAAACAUUGCACGGAGUAGGUGCUUUCAAAUAUUGCACAUAGUAGGCAUUUAAUAAAUUGCACAGAGUAGGUGCUUAAUCAGUGUUUGUUAAAUUGAGAGAAAACAUCUUUCCCUCGUAGUACCUCACAUGGCACUUUGUUUUCACUUCUUUCACAAUUCUUGCUGUCUUUUUAAAAAAUCAUAGUUAUUUGCAUUUGUAUCAUAUCUUUAUUGUAAACUUCUUGAGGGCAAAGAACUAUCUGUCUAAUCUACCAAGCAAAUUGUUCUGCUAUAUAAAUGCUACUAUAUUGCUUAAUCAAUGUUUAAUUUUUGAUUUGAGUAGAAUUGUUUCCUUGUUGAUGCAUCUCUAACAUCAUGUUAGGAUGCCUGUACUGCACGAUUAGCACCUUAUUAUAUAUUAUCCUGUUGUAUCUUAUAGCAUUAUUUUGAGAGAAGGAAAAGCUUCAUAUACUAUAAAACAUUGUAUUCAUGCUAUUAUUGUUACUAUGACAUUGUUAUUUUCUAGUUGCUUUUAUUAUAUAAUUUAGCACUUUAUUGUAUUAGUAUAUAGUGCUUUCUUAUUAUCUACUAAUGUUAUUUUGUGUGUAUAUCCCAUUUUCCCAACUAGAUUGUAAACAUAAGGUAGGCAAUGGCUAUGCAUAACUUGUAAAUCGUAUGUACUCAAUAAAUGCUUAAUGAAUGAUGAUCUGGC